ACCUGCAAAAGAAUCCUGAGAGCAACACCCUGGGAGAGGGGUUAGUUUAGUGCCAGCCCCAGCGAGCCAGGGAGGAAAGAUGUCCCUGUCCAGGGCUGAGGACAGAAGGGACCCCUGGUCCUCGAAACUGUGUUGUGUCCUGAAGUCCUUCUAGGUGACCCUCUGCUUCAGACCCAGCGGCUGCUGGCUGGGCCUCGGAUGCUGCCCUGUUCACCUCCUUCUGGAACUGGCUUCUCCAGCCUCAUGAAGAUUACAGAAACCCUCGUGGUGAAGGAAGCCUGAGCUGGUUUGUGCUGCGUUGCUUGCAAUCUGUCAAAAACUGGCAGUGCUGCCCUCCUCUGUGAAGUGGGCACUUCCCGAUAAUAUUGGUGUGGGGCGUUCCCUGGGUUCCCGGGGUGCAUGUAGCUCCAGGACUUCUCAGAUCAGGCUGGGGACUCCUUAAAAAUGACAAUACUCUGCAGGCUUUGUCUACGGAGCAGUGUCUCAGCUACCAACACUGCUACGUUAGAAACAGAAAGCGAUGCAUCUUCCGGCACAAGGAUCACAAGCGCGUGUCCCCUCCGUUAGCAGGGGGGCAGUGGUGUCCUCGCUCAUCACAGGCCGCCGGGAAACACCCCUGUACUCCCCGGAAAGAAGAGGCUCUCACAGAGUCGCAGCUUAGUGCUGUCUCGGAAGUGGUUCCAACCCCAAGGCCCUGUAGGGCACCCCAGGAUCUCUGGGCUCCGCACUUGGAGAAUCACCAACCUUCGUAGGUGCUUCCCCCAGUUUCACAGCUAAAGUCAGAAAUAAAAGGAAGUGGGGCAGCAGAUUUGAACCCAGAUCCUGGGUUUGAAGCCUAGCGCACACCCGCCCCCAGCUCGGUGAGGAGCUAACCGGAGGGAGGAGGCGUGUCCAAACUGUCCCUGGACAUCCCCGCCACCCUGGCACCUUGCAUGAGCAGCUGCCCCUCCUGGCUUCCUAAGUCCCUAAGCUGCCGUCUGCCCCAGGCCUGGCUUGACACCAGGGCCCAGCCAGGCUGCUACCUGUGGUCUCCAGGGGCUUCUGUGUGGAGCUCCGAGGCUGCCAGGUGAGCCUUGAGCCUCGAUUGCUUUCCAGUCCCUUCUUGGGGGGGGGGUGGCUGUCCACCCUGAGGACAGGUGGUGCCUGCCCUGUGGUGUGGAUGUCACCCCUGUUGUGUGCUGUGCACAGAAGCCUCUGCUUCUCAGGUUCAGCCAUGUCCCUGAACCCCACCUCCGAGGGGCAGUUCUGCUCCGGAACAUGUUACUUUUCACCUCUAAACUCCUGCUUCCUGCUCUGUACAAUGGUGUCACAACAAAAGGGCCGCCGUGCUCUGACCGCUGCCCACCUCGCCGUCCCCGGUCUCCUCUAUCCUGCCAUCUAACCGGCUCACUUCCGGCUCCCCGAGUGCCGCUGUCCCCCAGCUGGCAGGUCCUCCCCCAGCUCCUGCCCCCACCUCGGAGUCGCCCUCAAGUCUCAACCAAGAAUCCGCUUCCUUUGCUGCCCUGGCUGGAGGCAACUCUGCAGGCUGCAGGAAGAGGACACCUUGGCGACCGAAGUGGUGCCAAGAGGUCCCGGUUCCGGCCCAGGCCCGUCUCUCCUGCACCAGCUCCCCCAGCCUCCUGGCCUCCUCCCGGCAGCCAGCCUCAGUUCCUGUUGCCCUCAGAACCCUCCUGGGCGUGGCCCACGUGACCAGGCUUUGGGAUGGCAGAGAAAAACUGAAUCUGGCGCGCCAGUAACAUCCGUGAUUCCACACAGCUUGAGGACUCGGAGAGCUCCCCAGGCCACCGUGCUGGAUGGGGACCCGCAGGUCAGCAGAGCCUGAGGUGCUGGGACCCCACCUGGCACCUCUACAGCUGCAGCCGCCUGUCCUACUAAGUCAGCAACAGCCGAUCCAUCUCGGCUUCCUCCUCCCAACCCUGCCUGCUCGCUGCCACCCCAGGACCUUUGCACUCACUGUCCCCAUCUGGUAGUCCUUCAUGGCUCCAUAACCCCUUUCUGGAGAGGAGCUCCUAAAACAAGUCUCCCUAAAUGUGGAGGACCUCAGGGGACCAUCCGCAGGAACUGCUCUGGAAGGACCUUGUGCUCUGGAAGUCCUUGGGUCUAGCUCAGUAUGGAGCAGGGACAAAGGGCAGUGGCCAGCUGGAUGAAAAGACCACGAAGGGGUCACUCUGCUGCCGGCCCUGGGCCCCACCUCCUGCAGGGUUCUUAUUUGCCCCCCAGGAGUCCCAUACACUCCAGAGGCAGAUGAGGAGUCACGGGUGCUCUGAGCAGGCCAGGGAGAAGCCUGAGCUGCUGCAUACGUUAAACGCGGCUGUGUCGGGCGCCAGCAGCCUCGGAACCAGGCCGGAGCGCGCGGCCAUAUGGGGAUGCGGUUGCGGAAGAAAUAUUUAUGAAAUGGCUUUUCCCAAUGUUUAAUCUACAGCAGAUGCGUCUGAAGUGAA